rnacentral:misc_RNA from 1 species
UACGGAGGGUGCAAGCGUUAAUCGGAAUUACUGGGCGUAAAGCGCACGCAGGCGGAUCAAUAAGUCAGAUGUGAAAUCCCGGGGCUUAACCCCGGAACUGCGUCUGAAACUGUUAAUCUAGAGUGUCAUAGGGGGUAGGGGAAUUUCACGUGUAGGGGUAAAAUCCGUAGAGAUGUGAAGGAACACCGGAGGCGAAGGCGCCUGCCUGGAUGACUACUGACGCUGAGGCGCGAAAGCGUGGGGAGCAAACAGG